rnacentral:rRNA from 1 species
GAUGAACGCUGGCGGCGUGCCUAAUACAUGCAAGUCGAGCGAACAGACGAGGAUCUUGCUCCUCUGACGUUAGCGGCGGACAGGUGAGUAACACGUGGAUAACCUACCUAUAAGACUGGGAUAACUUCGGGAAACCGGAGCUAAUACCGGAUAACAUGUUGAACCGCAUGGUUCAACAGUGAAAGACGGUCUUGCUGUCACUUAUAGAUGGAUCCGCGCCGCAUUAGCUAGUUGGUAAGGUAACGGCUUACCAAGGCAACGAUGCGUAGCCGAACUGAGAGGGGGAUAGGCCAAACUGGAAGUGAACCACGGUCCAGACUCCUACGGGAGGCAGCAGUAGGGAAUGUUCCGCAAUGGGCGAAAGCCUGACGGAGCAACGCCGCGUGAGUGAAGAAGGUCUUCGGAUCGUAAAACUCUGUUAUUAGGGAAGAACAAAUGUGUAAGUAACUAUGCACGUCUUGACGGUACCUAAUCAGAAAGCCACGGCUAACUACGUG